CUACCGGUAGGAAAAAACUUCAGACUAUGCUAUAAAUUUCUGCUACCAGCCGAUGUACACAUGCGCAGGAAAAAACUAUACGUAGGAAAAAACUUCAGAACAAGGGCACUCUGAAGGAGCAGGCAAAGACAGAAAUCUCUCUCACUCUCACCAGUAAGUUUGAGCUGCUGGAUGGAGAUGACAAAGACGAGAAGGCUCUCAUGACAAAGACCAAAAAGCUAAUUGUGGACGUGAUUCAGAUUCAGCCUGGAGAGAAUUUGCCUGAAAUCCUCGAGACUCCAGUUACAGCACCACAAGAGUUGGAGCACAAAUUGGUUGUGGAGCGCCGUGCAGUGCA